GGCGUGCAUCACGGUGAGUCGCAACAGUACCACGGGAGGAGAAAACGUCGAAGAAAAGGACCGGACGCGCCGUGGCGACUGGGAAGCACGCGCCGGCAUUACGGUAGCUGUUUAGAGCGAGGUUUAGCUGUGGUAGCAGCUGCGGCUGUGGCAGCUGCGGCUGUGGCAGCUGCGGCUGUGGCAGCAGCGUCGGCGGAGGAGGAGAGGAUGACUCCACGGUGCUGCUCUGGCUGGGGCUGCGGGCGAGGGUGCCAAGGAUUUCGUUUGGCGUUGGGAAGUUUGUCUUGGCCUUGGCGCCGCGGAACUCACGCGCUGCUGCGUCGUAGGCACGUGCUGCUUCCUCGGCGGUGUCGAAGGUGCCGAGCCAGACGCGGGUUUUCUUCCCCGGGUCCCGGAUCUCGGCGGCGUAACGCCCCCACGGCCGCUUCCUCACUCCUCUGUAUCGGAUCUCCAUAUCCUUCGAAUUCGGAUUCGGGUUAGAGGAUGAUUUGUUGAGCUUAUCUCUCGGAGCCAUUUUGAACAGAGGAGCAAGUUGAUUGUUAGCUCUUGAAGGAAACGAACAAGAGCAGUGGCGGCUUUUAUAGAAUAAUAUGCGGGGAAGAGAGAGAGAAUGUGUGUGUGUGUGUGUGUGUGUGUGUGUGUGUGUUUGUGUGUGUUAAAGCGACACCGCUUUUGUGGGCGCUUGUUGUUGGGUACAGUAAAAGCAAGAGAUGUGGUGUGGCUUCCCUUACACGAACUAAUAUUCAGUUCAAUUAUGUUGACUAAUGAGACUGCGCCACGUUGUGACCUUAGGGAUUCUUGUUAUCGUUGCAUGGUCGAAAUAUUUAAGAAAUUUUCUAUCUUAUCUUAUGGCAUUCAAUAAUCCUUAUGCACCUUAUAUUUAGUAGACAUUUAUUUAUUUGACACCAGGAUUAAAUGCCGAUAUUUUUAAACGAAUUUUUUACGUAAUUAAUUUUUGAUGCACAUGCACUAACUAUAUGGCCCUGGAUGUUUAUAUUUACAUUGUUGAAAAAAGAAAAAAAAAUUAAUGAGAGCCUGUAUUUAAUGAAAGCCUACUGAAAACGCUAAGGGCACGAGCACGCCACUCACGUGCUACGGCGCUUCGCUUUUUCACUCGGCGCGGUCAACGAUGACUUUGACUCUGCUGUUCCAAAAACAAAUUAUGGGCUCCAGACGCCCUGCCGCAGCCAAACGUAGUGGGUCCACACUAGACAUGAUAAAUGUUGAGGCCCCUUCCUAGUAGACGCGUGGCACGCGGUUUCCCUAAGGAAACGUGGCAGCAGAUAAGUCCAAGGGCGGCUAUGAUAACGGCGGUUAUGACGGCAAGUCUGUGUGCCGCUUUCUGUUUCUCUUUUUUCACACGAACGGUAAUAACGGCGGUUCAUCUAUUUUUAGAUAUUUUCUUUUUCUAUUUUUGAUUGAUGAUUUGUCGGCUUUCUCCGUCCUCUGGCCGCGUAAAUCGGAUCGUAUCCAUCCACCCGAUCCCGCGGAGAUGUUGACUCACCGGAAUCGGACGGCUAUUAUGGUGAUUCCCGUUGUGAUUUGACACGUGUAGAUAAGAAGUCGUCGUACAGACAUGGGAAUGAAAAUAGUCAGUGCUGCUUCAUAUGAAAUUCUGCCACGUGAAUUUUUUAAAUACUAGUGGACAACUUAAUUUUUUUAAAAUUUUAAAUUAACAUAUUUUUUCAAGGUGUGACUUAAAACUCUAGGAUGCAAUAUCUGCACCAUACAUCCAUCCAUAUAUUUUUUUUUUUGGAUUUUCUUAAGUAAUAUUUAUUAUAAUUUAUACUUAAAUUUUGUAGUAUAAAAAUAAAUAAAGAGCAGAGACACUAGAUGAAUCAAUGAUGAAUUUUAUUUAACUGUAAGCUACAUUUAUGUGACGCCCCAAACUAAGUGUAGUUUAGUAAACCAAUAGAAACAACACCCCCACUCGUUGAAAACUGAAACAAUUGUCCAAAUUUAGUAAAGAAUAAUUCAAUGUUGCAAAUGGCAGAGAGCUCAAAAAUAUUAAUGAGUUAACUUGUAUUUGUUUGGGUUUGGAAGCAUGAACUUGAAGAUAAGUUUCUUAUUUAUUUAAUUUUUACCCAAUUAAACAUAAUCUUUAGUUUUAAUUUUAAACAACCAUGGGAUGCUUUGUAAAAAGAAUAAAAAAAUAUAAAUAUAAAUAAAAACACACGCACACUACCAUUGGAUUAAGGGUGCGUUUGGGAUUGAUGUACUGUAGUUUUUAAGGUAUAGCUGCUGUGGAAAAAAAAAGUAUAAUUAUGAAAUAAAAGUUAAUAACAUAUAGUAAAUGUAAAUUUUAAAUAAUAAUAUUGAUAAAAUUAUUAAAGAUAUAAUAGAUUUUUCAUUAUACAAGUGAAAAAUCAUAUCAACAUACCUUCUAAAAUACAGCAGUUAAUGUUUACCAAACACUUUAGUACUAUGACUUUUAAGCUACAGUUGCCCAACUUCAAUUUCAAACGCACCCUAAGUGACCCUAAGUCACCUUAUAUUAGAAUUUUCAUACCUUAAAUUUAUGAUUUUUUUUUACAAUUUUGUAAGAAAAGUACUUAUAUUAACUAUCGUUAGGCAGUUACUAAAGAAUUUAAUUCUUUUUGCCAAAGAUUAGGGGCAAAUGUAAUUACCUACAACAUUGCUUUAUCUCAUUCCAUCUCUCCACAAAUUAAAUGGGACCAUGAUAUUUGGAUUGCUGAUUACAAUAAUAUUGCUUUUUUCUCGCCAAAGUAAAUUCAUAAUAUUAGUUGCAACCCAACACUAGGUAGGGAAUAUAUAUAUGAAUAAAAAUUUCAAUUCCUAAUUGAGAUUCGGGAUUUCGUAUUGAUGGAGAUGGGAUUGAUCCACAUUAUUUUGACCAAUUUAAAAGCAGUGGGAUUCGGGAUUGAAAUUGAACCCAAUUGUAAUUUUGGGACAGGAUUAAGAUUUAUCUCAAGAUUUCAUAGGAUCCCAAUCUGCUCAAUUAUUUAGCUAACAAUGUGUUCAAUUUUAUUUUUUCUUUAACAUUAUUAAUUAUAUAUUGCGUAAUUUGCAAUGUUCUUUAUUUUUUCAAUUAUAUUGGAGAUAAUGUUAAUUGAGUUGUUAAUGGAAACACAUAUAUUUUAUAUAUAUUAAAAUUUUAAAUUAAAUCUAAUCAAAGCAUGUAAACAAAAUUAAAAUAUUAAUUGAGGUGGGCCAUUCGGGAUAUUUGUGAUAAUUGAGAAGGGACGGGAUUUUGAAUCGUCUGUAAUUAGUUUUAAUUUUGAUCCCACAAUUACAAAUUCUUGGCCAUCCCAGCUCAUUGUCAUCUCCAUAUUUAGGGGACCUAUUUAAUUAAAGGGAUAAAUCUGUAUUUUGUUGAAAAAAUAUAAGAAGUUAGGGAUCCAGAUGUAAUUACACAUUCUCAAAAUAGAAUCAAUCCAAACGUGGCUCAGGUAAAGCCGACAAACAAAAUGAGUUCCCGAUUUCGACAGUUGAAAAGAAUUUACCGGGAACACUUCCAACAGAAAUUCAAAUUCCAUUCUCAAUUAACAACCCAAUUCUCAAAACUUCAAUCUUGCAACUCGGUUACUUCACAUAAAACCCUAAUCCCCAUUAUCAAUUUGCAAGCCAGAAACUCUGAGUUUCUUUUUCUGGGCAGAAUCGAAACAGCUCAGUUGGUUCAUUCACUCGCUAAUUCUGAUGAAAAGUCCGAGUUUCAACGUUACCCAGGUGAUGAAAUAGCAAUAAAGGUUCAAAAUAUUCUCAAGACCUGUAGCGUCAGCACAAAAGGAGAAAUUGAGAAAGCUCUGAACCAAUGUGAGCUUACACUAACUGAUGAUUUGAUUGUAAAUGUUAUUAACCGUUAUCGUUUUGAUUGGGAAGCAGCUUAUACAUUCUUCAAAUGGGUGUCUAGAGAAGGUGAUUAUUCACCCGGGUCUAAUGUUUUCAAUGCGAUCCUUGAUGUUCUUGGGAGAGCGAGGCGUUUUGUGGAGUUGAUACAAGUGUUUGAUGAAAUGCCUGAACUAGUGAAUGAGAAAACUUAUGGAAUCUUGCUUAAUAGAUAUGCAGCUGCACAUAUGGUAGAGGAAGCAAUUGGUGUUUUUGAUAGGAGGAAAGAGUUUGGGGAAUUGGAUGAUUUGUCUGCUUUUCAGAAUCUAUUGUUGUGGUUAUGUAGGUACAAGCAUGUUGAAGUGGCUGAAACUUUUUUCGAGUCUAAGAAGAAUGAGUUUGGUUAUGAUAUAAAGACAAUGAAUAUUAUUCUCAAUGGAUGGUGUGUGUUGGGGAAUGUUUAUGAGGCAAAAAGGUUUUGGAAAGAUAUAAUUAAAUCUAAAUGUGAGCCAGAUUCUGUUACUUACGCAACUUUCGUAAAUGCACUAACCAAGAAGGGGAAAUUGGGGACAGCAUUGAGGUUGUUUCAAGCUAUGUGGGAGAAAGGUCGUAAACCUGAUGUGGUUACUUGCAACUGUAUCAUUGACGCACUUUGUUUCAAGAAAAGGAUUCCUAAAGCUUUGGAGGUUCUUAGGGAAAUGAAGAAUAGAGGUUGUCUCCCAAAUGUCACAACUUACAACUCGCUGAUCAAGCAUCUAUGCAAGAUUAAGAGGAUGGAAACGGUUUACGAGUAUUUGGAUGAAAUGGAGCUGAAGAAUGGAAGCUGUUUGCCUAACGAAAUAACUUUCAAUUACCUGCUCAAGUCUUUGAAGAAACCCGAGGAAGUUCCUUGGGUAUUGGAGAGAAUGGAGAGAAAUGGAUGCAAGAUGAGCACUGACACAUACAAUGUGAUUUUAAAGUUGUAUGUAAACUGGGAUUGUGAAGACAAAGUAAGACAUACAUGGGAAGAGAUGGAGAAAAAGGGGAUGGGACCUGACCAGCGAUCUUAUACCGUUAUGAUUCAUGGGCUGUAUGACAAGGGAAGGUUAGAGGAUGCUUUAUCUUAUUUCCAUGAGAUGAGAUUGAAGGGAAUGGUACCUGAGCCAAGGACUGGGAUUUUGGUGAAUGAUAUGAACAUCAAGUUGAAAGAGAGAGGGGAGCAGGGCAAAAAGGUGAUAAAACUCACAAGUCUAGGACUAAAAGGGAAUGCAUGAAAAAAAAAGGGAGAUGAAAUCUUGAAAUUGGGGAAUUCCUAAGAAGCACAAAAAUUCCGAAAAGAAAAAAAAAUGUUUUUCCAGUUUAGGAGUUAGUAUUAUACUCUUAUUUGAGAAAUUUUUCUAGUUGAGUUAUAACAGUCCCUGCUAGUAGUUAUAAUUAUAUUAUGGAAUAAACGCUUUGUCUGAGUUUCUUAGUUUACAUCCAUCAAAAGCUGUCAUAAGCUAUUGUACCUAUUCAGCUUAUACUCGGUAAAGCUUAACGUGGUUGCGAUUGUAGCUUCAAAUUUAUCUGCAGCAAACAGCUUAGCCAUAUUAAACAAGCAAAUGCCAAUGAGCAGAUGUAAUAAGUUCUAAUCGACAACUACAGUUUCAUUUUCUUAAUUCAUUCAACUCAAGAUUGGUUAUAAACAGCAGCAGCGUAUCAUUCAAUGGUCAUAUUUCUCACCUCUUUUCGCCCCUGUAAACUCAACAUGACAUCUGAUACUAGGGUCAUAUUUCUUGAUCUCAAGUUUUACCUUACUCUUUGUAUUCCUCAUCUUGGCAUAGAAAAUUCCGGGCCCAGCAGAUGAAACAAGCUUGAUAACUUUUUCAUUCUUCUUCUUCCUUGUCUCUCCCCACCCUUUCAUUUUCCCUGCUCCUCUUCUGAUGGGAGUCACCACCCCUUUUUAUACUCUUCUUCUGUGAUUAAAAAACAUUUUAUAUAUCAAAAGAUUCUAACACUCAAAAAUGAUGAUGAAUGCAAUGCUUUUAGUUUAGAAUUCUGUGCAAAUAGAAACAGCAAACUUUGAUGCAAGCAGCGGCACACCUAGCUACACUGAAUCAACUAUAUAAAGUAAAAACUGGGAAACACUACAAUUCACCAGUUCAGUAAAACCAUUACUAAAGUAAAUAAGAAAAAGAGUAAAAAACACGGAAGGGUUUUUCUAUAACCAAAUGCACUGUUAAAACUCACUUUUGCCUUCACACAACCUCAUCAUUUUAGUGUUACAAUUUGGUCAGCAAAUUCACACUUUCAACAAAAUAGUAAAAUUGCUCAUUGGACGUUAACGAGAGAUACGUGCCCCUAUAGGCCAAUCAUUUAUCAACAACACAUCAGAUGAAAUUAUACUUUACAAGAAUCCUGAUCUUUUCUUCUUCACAACUGGGUGUCUAUGUCCAUGGCCAAGCUUAUAACUUUAUCAAAUAAUUCUUGAUUUCAUCUUUAUCCACUAAUCAUUAGUACGGAUUUUUUUUGACAUGCAGAUCAAAUUGUUGAAACGGGCAUGUCCAAUGACACAUAAUAAAAAAUGAACAAUUUUCUAUUUGUGAGACUUUGAAGAAAAGACAUCAACUUGCAAAAGUGGGUACCUUUCUCAAGCUGGAGUUGGAAGCAUAUCUUCUUGCCAAGCAAUCAACGAUUGUCGAGUCGGCUUUUCAAAAAAAUAGAUCACCAAACCCCUACAAAUGAACAUUUCCCAGAAUUUUAACCCAGAUAACAAGCUUUACAUACACAUAUUGGUUAGAAAACAAAUGGGUUGACUCAUUUUUAAGAAUCGACAACAGUUCACACAAAAAGAUUCAAACAUUUCUAGUCCAGUCUCUUGUUUUUGGUAGCGUUAAUAUUCCCAGCAAUUAAUCAGAGUGAACAAAGAAAAGGUUACUUAUUUUCUAAGAAAUAACGACCUUUUACAAAAAGAGACCUAACUUUUAUUGGUUUAGCCUCUUGUAUUUGGUAGUUUUCACUCUCCCAGCAACAAAUCAGAGUGAAAAGGGAAGGUCAUGAGUAACUGCAACAGAAAGAGAAAGGCAUAACCUUUGAAGAAGGGAGCUGGCUAAGUUACAGAAUCUGUAACUUACAGAUCCAGCUUAACCAGCUCUUAAUUGGAUGCAUUUGGAUGGUUUUUCCUCUCUCCUCAGGACACGUGUGCUCUUCUCCUUGGGUGUGUAUGUUACAGAUUCUGUAACACAGCAACCUCCUUGAAGAAGACAUUGUGAUCGAGACUUGUGGAGAAACUGAAGGACGUGAAAGUGGUCAAAGUUGACUGAGUUGAAGAAGAAAGGUGGGUUUUGGAAAAUGUGUUUCUUGGCUUGCAAGAAACAGCAAAGCAACGAAGAACAAAUGCCAUCUUUGUCUCUUUGUCUCCUCCUCUCUGUAUAAUUGAAAGUUUGAAGUUGACGUUUCCUGUCCUACUAUCUGUAGCUUAUCAUGAGACUUUUUGGAUCCACACUAUAAUGCAUCCGACAAGAAGCAGGUGUGUCAUUCUAUUUACAAGGAAAUGAAAGUGUCACACAAUAAAUACAAUGUCAACUAUAGUGAAUUGCGUAAUUAAAUUCAACAUAUUAAAUGAAAACAAAUUGCAUAAAUAAUUUAUCAUAUAAAAUGAAUACAUUAUCAACUAAAAUAAUCACAAUGUCAUUCAAGGAACACACUAAACAAGUACAUUGUCCAGCAAUAUUACAAGUAAUUAUACAAACUACAAUGACUGAAAAACGAAAAGUCUUCAUGUAGAUUCAGCUAUCAUUCCUUAUGUUCCACAUCUCUUGAGCUAAAUUAUCUCGCCAAAUAGUCCACUCAUUUAAAAGCUCAAUUGACUCAAUAAAUUGUAUUUCAUCAACAUUGUCUCGAAUUCCAUCGUUAUCUAUUUCUUCUUCCAUGACAUUGACGAGCAUUUCCUUUCUUAUGAAAUUAUUGUUGGGAAAAUAUGCUCUUUAAAAGCAUAUGUGUUUAUUUAAUUGUAAUAAACAAUUUUUCUGAUUAAUAAAAUAAAUGAGGUAUUUUAUUCAAAUAUCUUAAUUGCAUUAAUAUUUGUAUUAAAGUCCAUUUAAUCAUAUUCUAUGUAUUUAUGUGAUCACCAUGUGGAUUCACAGAAGACAUAAAUACACGUUAUCUUAUGAUUAAAUAAAUUUAGUUCGCAGUUGAUAAAUAAAGUUGGGCACUUUAUUUAGGUAUAGACUGUAAUAAAUUCAUUGAAUGAUUUGUCUUAAUCAUGUAUGAAUUUGUUGAUAUAGUACGACUACAUUGAACAUGAUCACAUAUGAGAUUUAAUUAACUUUGUAAUAACUGUCAGACUUAUUAAAUCUCAUAGGCAUUGAUUUUACUGUAAUCUUAAUCUUGAGUUAAUUAUGAUUUCAUGAUUGUAAUUGUUAUUCCAUUUGAGUUACCAAUGGGCACGACACAUCCUUGUGGUCAAGAUUACUCGGUAUCUUGGUGGGAGCAAUUAUGAGUAUUGGAGUUAUGGAUUAACAAUAUAGAAUUUGUACAACACAUCUCUUGAUGGGUUUUCGGCACUUGAUCAUAGAAUUCUCUGGCCAGAGUGUGUCAACAUAUUUAGUAUGUUGAAAAUGAUCAUUAGAGAAAACCAGUAAGGAUCAAGGAAUAAGAUGUUAUUAAAUUGAUUGGACAGUUGAGAUAUCAAUUUAAUUAACGAUGUGGUACAAAUGAUUGUGCAAUAAAGAAAUCAAUGUGGCUUGGGACGAAUUAUUAUUCGAGCAUACAAUUAUGGAAGUCAGUUCCAAUCUUUUAGUGGAGUAGAUUUGGAAUUAAAUAAUUAGGCUAGUUUAAUUACAGGCCUAAUUGUUAUAGCCACUAUUGUAUGUUCCCAAAUGGUCCCCGGGUUAGCUCAUUUAAUUGACUGCACCACUACUGGACUAAUAAGCAAGAUAACUAGCUAUUUGGGUCAAAAGCCUAAAUAUAUCAUUUAGUGGGAGGCUCCACUUAAUAAGCUUAUGUGUAAGGGGCCUUAUGUUAUUUUACAUGGUGGGUCCCCUAUUAAAUGAAAAGUAACGUGAGUUUUAUUUUGGGGCAUUCUUGGAGCCUAGGGUUUUCACUAAAGGGAGAUAUAUAAGGCUUAUUUUCUCUAAAGGAAAAGAGAGAAGCCACUUUAUACAGAUAAGAGAAUAAGAUUUUUCUCUCUAUUGUUGAGAGAAAAAUUUUCUCGUGCUAGUUGCUUUGGUAGUGAUAACGGCGCCCACACGUCAAGUGCAGAUCGAACAUGAGUCAUAACCUGGAAGAUCAUUGGUGACAGUUCGUGAUCUAACAAGCGUGGUGGUGACGGAUCGUGAUCUAACAGGAGUGGUGGUGGCGGAUCGUGAUCUAGGAGCCUAAAUCCCUUCAGCGGAAAAAGCCAACUCGGAUUUUCAAGGUACGAUUUCUAGAAUACGAAUUCUUAUAUAUUAUAUGAGAGCGAUCUUCAAAAGGUUUUAUAAAAAUUUAAAAACCUGAUUUUUCCCCAACAAUUAUGCAACAUACAACAAACAAAAAUUAUACGCCGUUGUGUUACGAUAUCAUAAAAGGCAGGACUUCUCAAUAUAGCCCAUCUCUUCUCCAAUAUCCCAAAACAUUGUUUAAUCACAUUGCAAGCACUUGAGUGUUUCAUAUUAAAGAACUCUUUUGGCAUAUGAGGUUGCUGUCCAUCACGAAAUUCGCUCAAAUAGGAACGUUCUCCUCUAUAUGGUGAAAGAAAAUCCAUCCCAUUAGUGUAGCCAGCAUCAACCAAAUAAUAAUAACCUAUUAAGAGAAUAAGAAAUCAUCAUAUAAAAAAAUUAUUCGCUAAAUAAUAUAUCCUUACAAGCUAAAGAAAAAUUGGUUAGAUGUAUUACCAUGAGGAACUUUUAACCCAUUUCUUCUAGUUAAGGCAUCUCUUAGCACGUGCAUAUCAUAAGCUGAACCUUCCCAUCCCAAUAAGACAUAUGUAAAUUGCAUAUCUUGGGAACAAAUCCCAAGACAUUUAUUGUAUUCUCAUUUUUCCUAGUUCUAUAUCUUAGCUUAUUGGGCCUCCGAAACGUGAAAUUCUACAAUAAACCAUUAAAAAAAUAAUGAGUUAAUCAACGAAAGUGUAUUAGAGAAGACAUUGAUUUGAAGAAAUAUUAUACUUACUGUAAACCACUUCCAUUUUGGUUCCGUUAAAUCCUCCAUAAUUAGCUCAGGUUUUUUCCUAAACUCCUUUUGACAUCUAAUCAUUGUCUUCAAAUACUCUUGGAAACAUUUGCUAACUGUUCUUCUGAAUCUUUUGAUGUUAAAACCAACAACCCAAUUUUUCAUGUGAUAUACUAAAAUCGACAAAAACAUUGCAACCCCUAGAGGCACAUUUAUACUUCUAACCAAACUCCCUUUUCACAAAGAAGCUUACAUAAUUUGAAAAAUGUUUGUCUAUCCUUUCUUAAUUGCGACAAACAUUUCACAUCACUUUCAAAUACCAAGACAUGCAAAUGGGAUGGUUGAACUCUAUAUACCGAAUUUGGACAUUCCAACCUCCGUUCAUAAGGUAAGCGAAAAUAGGAAGACAUAACAGUGCACACAUCGAUAAUCAUUUGCAACAUGACAACUACUUCUUGUAUAACUACCAACACUCUCUUCUUUUUUGCUAAUAAACAAGUCUUCCUAUAGCUGAAUAGGGAAAAAUAGGGAAAAGAAAAGAAAAUUAGAUAAAUAACAUUAUAGGCAGUGGCCUUAAUAAUCAGAUAAAAGAUGCAGUUGUCUAGUAUGAAGAUAACAAGACAUUUUGAUGUUUGAGACCAAUGGUACAUAAAUUAAAUGUAAAUAUAAGAUUAUGAUAAACUAAGAAGAUAAGUUUAGGACCCCCAAAAAAGAAUAAAACUAAGAAAAAGUUGCAAAUAAAAGUCAGCAAACAUUGGACAACAAUCCCAAAAAAAAAAAAAAAUUAUCUAGUUGUUGACAUAUUAUUGUUUUACUAUAAUAGAACAGCGAGCAAUUUGUUGUUUAUUGGUCAUAAGAUUCAAAUUUAUACAAGAGUUAACCUUAUCAUUUGGAUCCACACUUUGGUUUAUUAAUUUUAAAUUUUUGUAGAUUGCUUAUGCAGCAAGGACAUCAGUGAGUGAUCAGUAGUAGUAUCUUUUAGAAAAGAAAAAAAAAAUUAGUACUAAAAAACUGACUAAUUUGGAAAAAAUUUCCAAUUUAGUUUCGUAUUAUAUUCCAUGAAUAAAGGCCGUGAAUAUAGAUAAUAUUAAUACUCAAUGACCAACUUAAUUUUCAUUUAGACAUUGAAAACCUUCGACAAGCAUUUCAAAACAUCAAACCCAUUAGACGAGAAAAUAAGGAUUUACAAAACUAAAUCUACUGAGCCCCAUAACAGAUCAUACAAGCAAAGAAGUAUUUUUUUUUUUUUUAAUGGAACCUCAACUAAGUGAGCUAGGAAAAUAUAUUAACUAAAAGAAAGUGAAAAUAGUACAAGAGAGAAGAAAGAGCAAAUGCUAGCCGAGCCCCAUAACAGGUUGAUAUGAGCUUAAUUUAUUUAUGCAUGUUGUUUACGUAAGAAUUGGCUAGGCGUUCCAUUAGUGUUGAGUUUUAUUAGUUGAGUCAGUGAGUCAUGUUAGUGAGUUGUAAUGGAAGUUAAUUUGUAUUUUAAUUACUAUUUUCUAGCAGUUUCAUUCAGUUAUUGUAAGUUACAUUAUCAUGUAACUUGUGUUGUAUUUAAACUGGAAAAGUGAAUGAAUAGAGGAGGUUAUUCACUUGCUUAAUGCUUCUUUUCUGGAGAGAACGGUUCUCUCGAACAACCGUAUUUUUCCUUCCUUCUUUAUUGCUUAUAAUAUAAUUUAGAACAUAACAUUUGGUAUCAGAGCAGUCAUUCCAUGGCUGAAGCUACAAGACAAAAGAAAUAUGCAUAUUUUAAAGCUUUUAUUACUGAGAAGAUUGAGAACCAAGAUGCAAUCAUGCAGGAGGACCUUAGCAAACUUCAAAGUUUGACAUCUAUGUGUGAUAAAUUGAGUGUUCAAUAUGCUCAAGUCAGCACAAACGUUGGCAACCAUUUAAUGCCAAGAGAUCACUCACAAACUGUUGAACCAUCUAGCUUUUCUAUUAAAUUUGUUGACAAUAACCUUGUGCGACGGCUGAAGUUGCACUUUCCAAAUUGUAGUGGUGUGGACCCAUAUGGAUGGAUUUAUUGGGCUGAACAAUAUUUUGAGUAUCAGAAUAUUGCAGAGGAGCAGCAAGUGCAACUUGCAUCUUUCCAUCUUGAAGGAGCAACGCUUCAAUGGUAUCAAUGGAUGACAAAAACUAAGGGUCCAGUCACCUGGACUGAGUUUUCAAGCGCUCUUCUCAAAAGAUUCGGACCAACAUAAUUUGAUGAUGCAGCGGAGGCUUUAUCCCAGUUAAGACAACGAACAAGUGUUAUUGCUUACCAAGAAGAGUUUGAGAAACUUUCCCACUUGGUGGAUGAUUUGCCUGAGCCCUUUAUAGUAGGGUCAUUUGUUGGGGGACUAAAAGAUGAGAUACGAUUGGAAGUGAAGAUGCAGUGACCUCGUUCGUUGUCCACUGCUAUAGGUCUUGCAAGGCUUGUUGAGGAAAAGUACAACCUCCGUAAAAAUAAUUUCAUGCCUUGUUCUCCAUCUCCUAAUUCUCCUAAAAAGGGUACUUCGAGUACAGGGUUGUUGGGAACUCAACCUAAUGCCACACCACCAUCAACUUUUAAAUGUUUGACUCCAAGUGAGGCAAAGGAUUGGCGAGAACGUGGAUUAUGUUACUAUUGUGAUGACAAGUUUGCUCCUGGACAUAAGUGUCGUACUCCUCGCUUAUUUAUGAUUGAAGCAUCUCAUGAAGAUGAUGAGGUUUUAGAUGAAGAAAGUCAAAAGGCACUUGAAAACGUUGCUAGUGAUUCAACAUUGAGGACAAGGUUCAUUCCAAGGGGAGUAGAAUGAUGUGAGCUUAAUUUAUUUAUGCAUGUUGUUUACGUAAGAAUUAGUUAGGCGUUCUAUUAGUGUUGAGUUUUAUUAGUUGAGUCAGUGAGUCAUGUUAGUGAGUUGUAAUGGAAGUUAAUUUAUAUUUUAAUUACUAUCUUCUAGCAGUUUCAUUCAGUUAUUGUAAGUUACAUUGUCAUGUAACCUGUGUUGUAUUUAAACUGAAAAAGUGAAUGAAUAGAGGAGGUUAUUCACUUGCUUAAUGCUUCUUUUUUAGAGAGAACGGUUCUCUCGAACAACCGUAUUUUUCCUUCCUUUAUUGCUUAUAAUAUAAUUUAGAACAUAACACAAGUCUUAUAAGUAAAGAAGUAAACAAACUACUAACUUAUUACAUUUAAUUACAUAUAAGAUUACAAUAAUUACCAGUUAAAAGAAGUAAAAUUGGAUGAUCUUAACCAAUGACAAUUUUCUUUGAUGGAGUAUUGGAAUAGCAAAAGAGAUCACCUUUCAAAUCAGAGAAAAGACAGUUAAAGAGGAGAAACUAAAUUUAAACAGAAAAUUGUGGAUUCUUUUCAUAUUGCUAUCAAAGAAUUUACACGGUCGAGUGAGGUUGUAUGCAUCCACCUGUAAUAUAAUUCCUGAAAGAACCUUUGAUUGGACCACACCAAUAUCUCGCUCACUCGCUAUACGUAAACCAUGAAAUCCCCCGUUACCAAGUAUAUCCAGGUUUCUAAUCAAUCCUCUCUAACCAGAAGAUGAAAGUAUUUCACAGUUCCUUUUUUUUCCCUUAAAAAAAAAUAUUUUCUUCAGAAAUUUGCUAAUGGCUUUGAAAAGAAAUAAAGAAUUAUCAAAGAGCAAAGGGUGAAAAAUGAAAAUAAUUUAUUUAAAAAUAAAAGCAUCUAGGAAUCAUCUCCCAUCACUAUUCAUAAAAUAAAUAAUUUAUUUUUAUCUCAUUGCAUGCACGAAUAAGCAAAAUCCAGACCAGCAGCACGGCUGUUUAUAAUUAUAAUUAUACUUUAGGAUUAAUUUUUUAUUAAAUUUAGGAGUAUUUUUAUAAUUAUAAUUUUUUUAUUUUUAAAGCUUUAUAAAAUAAGAAUGGUUUUUUUAAUUUAUUUAGGAAUAAAAUUAUCAUUUUAUUUAAAUUAUGUAAUUGUAUUAGUACAAAAGUGACUAGUUGAUACAAAUUUAAAAAGAAAGGUGGUGCAAAAAAUAUGUUAAAAUUUUAUGGUGGUUAAAUAAACAUAAGACAAAAGAGAGGUGGUUCAAUGAUAAUUUUCCUUCAAUAAAAUAUAAAAAAAUUGUUCGAAGGUCUACCUUUUCAGUUUUAUAACAAACAAAAGAUAUUACCAUCCACUUCUUUUCUAGGAUUGAAACCAUUUUCAUUGAUUAAAUUUAGCAGUUGGGCUAGUGUCUUUGAGCUAAUGCUUUUGAUAAGACCAUCCCAUGAGCAUCCCCAUCGAUUCUGAAGGUUUAGUCGUAGUUUUGCUGCAGACUGUGCAUUCUGAAUAUGCACUGCCAUGCGGUCACACAUUGUGAAUGUGUUAGUACUGUGUGUUACCAAUUCAGCCCCUUGCUUAGGGUUUUUGCCACUUGCUACACACGCAGAGCAAUUUAAUUCAGGGAGCAGCAGCCAGCAUAUCAUUCUUACAACACAAUCUUUUCUUGCCAUGCUGCUGUAUCAGAAGUUUCAAUGUGGACCUAACUAGCCAAUGCCAACUUUGAUAGGUCAAAAGGCACAUUCAAAUGUACAAGUUUUAACAAAAGAGGCAGAAAAAUGAAGGAGACACAUAGUGUAAUAACAAAAAUGUGACAGUUCACAACCUCUACAUUAAGAAACAGAACAACUUAUUUUCCCACAUGCUCCUCCCCUUUCAUUGGACCGUUUCUGCAGGAGUAGGGGUAUACCAGCCAUGGUGAAUCUCCACAGCCUUCUUUCUCCUAGCAAGCCGGGACUUUCUGCGAGCACCAGUGUUCCUGUGCAACGUUCCCACUUUCACUGCUUUGUCGAUAACUGAAUACGCCUCUGCAAUCAGCUUCUCAACUGGAAGAACUUCCUCAGGUUGUGCAUCAGGUUUCUUCCUGAGCCCAUCCAGUGCUUCCAAAACCUGGAAUCAGAGAGCAAAAACUUUAUGACACAAUCACACUUAACAAAAUAAUCUCCAUUGCAUAUUUUCAAAAACGUUUUGCAUAUAUUUGCAUAAGCAAAAACCUAACUUUGUGACGUUGAAGAAAUUUUCAUUAAAACCCACCUCAUCCUUCACUAUCAUCACGGUUUACCAUUGUGCACACAAAUCAACAGCAGUAUUAUAAGCACACAAACAGCCAUAAAGAGAGACGGGGAGAGGAGAACCCCUCUCUUUAACGUAUAAAUUAAGAAUUCUCUUCAUCCACAGCCAUCCACUUCCUAACCUUGAUAUGACUCAUCAAAUACCAUUAUUCCAAUUCUAAGUUCUAUGCAUGAUACAGUUUUACAGAUGAACUUUAAAACGCACUUUACUGUUAUUACCAUAUGACUUCCCUCAAAUGAUUCGGUCAAUGGUAAAACUAAAAUCUAGAAUUGAUGCUGCCCUAGUUCUCGCACAAGGAACACUUUUUCCAGGACAAAAAGCCAAGAACUCCAUGAGCAUCCGCAUGAUGCACAAAGUACAAGAUUUUUUCAAAAUUAGAACUCAAGCAUCUUACACUAACUGUGAUAAGUUAAAACAAAAAAUGGCGAACCCUUUCAAAAUCCCUACCAUAACUAUAAAUGGCAACAGAACACCCUCAAAAGCCAAUUCAAGAUUUUGACUUUAGAAACUUUCAUUUAAUGAAGCGUUUCGAGUAUUAUCGCAGCCAGAAUAGGUACCAUCGACAUGUGGAGAUGGGUCCUUUUAGAUGAGGAUGCAGCAUAGGAAACAUGCUCUCUCCUUGAAAAAUACACCAGGCAACAUGGCUAUCUGUGUGCAGGAAAGGACUACACAAGCCUCACAUAUAUAUUUGUCUUUUCAAUUUGCGUGCUGUUGAGAAGAAAUGCAGUUACAAUAAUGCGCAAGAAUUCUUGAUUUCUUUCCAUUUCUUAAGUACAUCGAAAAAGAAAAUGAGCAGCAUCACUUAAAGCUCAUGUCUUAUACUAGCAUUGUCUCACAUUCCAAUUGUUAACAAAUGCUUCACAUUGUAGAAGCAUGUAGAACACUUAGGAAAACUUUGAAGAAACACUAUCAUCUUUGCCAGUCUCCCUCCCUAAUUCUCAACAGAAAAUACUACUCCCUCCCUAAAAGAGUUUAAUUCUUACUGAAUAGUACCAAAUACCAUAUGAAUUUUAAUCAAAUGCAAAAUGAUGAUGCACAAGAGAUAGUGUGAACUUUACUGGCAGCAAAAAGACCUAUUUAUUUCAGAAGCACAGCUUCAUCCGUUUCUAACAAAACAUUUCUAUGUAAAAGAAACCAUAUUAUCUAAUAACAAGGAGUGGGUAAAUCUAAGCAAAAUACAUAAGUUUUAAAACUAAGUUUGCAAAUUCAUCAUAUACCUUCUUCAUGCGGGUUUUGACUUCAGAUUUCCUAGAUUUGUUAUAGAUGCGCCUUUUCUCAGCUUGACGAGCUCUCUUUGCAGCUGAAUCAGCUUUCUUCUUAGUAGCUGCCUCGCAAACAACUGAAUGACGCAUUGGCCUCUGGAUUGGGCUCAUUGUGAGGGAGCCUAGAUUCACAAAGCACCCAGAAUUCACUCAAAAGCAUCCCAACGAUUUAAAUAAUAAAGACAAGUAAAGAAACACCAAAUAAAGCGUUUCGUUAAAAUAAAGUCUGCAUUUUUGGACUAAAAAACUCAAUUUUGAAUAACUACACAAACUGUUUGGUUUAACUGGAGGUGGGGUUUUUUUUUUCCCCCCUUUUUCCCUUUCCCAAUUCUUUAAAACUCACAAAAUGAACCAUCAAUUACCAGCUUUUCACCAUUUUCUUCAUAUUUUUCAACUCAACCAUACAGGAAAAAGAAAAGAAGAAGAAGAAUUUGUCAAAAAAAAAAAAUGAUACAAGAGAGAGUGAGAGAGAUGGGUGAGUUAGAAGUUACAUUACAUUACCUGUGGAGAAGACAUUGUGGGAGAGGUUAUUGGAGAAACAGAGAGAUUUGAAAGUGGCGAAGCUGGAGUGAGAAGAAGAGUUGUUGUUUAGUGAGAGGGUCUUGAAUUUUGACUGAAUCGUUAAACAAGACGAUGAUGAUAAGCAGUGAAGUGCCAUCUCUCUCUUUGUUUUUGUUUAUCCACUCAGCCACAGUGGGGGGUCGGACGGGUGAUGAAGAUAUAGGGCAGUUCCUCUUUAGUCCAUCUGUUGUGUAAUAAAAAAAUCAAAUUAAUAAUCUCUGUCUCAUCCAUAUAGAACGACAUGUCGUUCUUGCUUGUCCUGACGACGUCGUUUCUGGCCGGCCAUACGCAGAUUCUACAAUUUAAUGUGCAAAAUUGUGGCAAAAUCUAAUAGAGGUCGUUGGGCCUAAAAAAUUUGAGGAAAUCAAUCAACCGCCCACACAGAAGGCCAUGGAUUACCACUAGCCAACAAGGCCCAGUAAGUAUUUGAAACACAAAAACAAGGUCCGAUGAAUAAUAAUAGCAAUAAUGAUAAUAAUAACCUCGUAAAUGAAGCAUUUUUCUUUAAAUUUCGAGUUAUUUUUCUUAAAAAUAACUUUUGAGUUAAAUUCAUGCAAAUUGCAAGGAGGAAAAUCGCGGCUUCCCUUUUAUUCUGUUUUAUUUUUCUUUGGUUUCGUGCUGUAUUGUGGUGUGAUUCUUCUUUGCAGCAGUAGCAAAGCUUUCAUGGUUUCACAUCCCCCAAGUCCCAUGAAGCAGUGCUCUACAAUCUGUGUCUACCCCGUGAAAGUUGUGAAGUUCCUUAAUGGCCCAACCACAUUCUUGCAAUUUAAAUGUAAGCAAGAGAGGUUAGUCCAGACUCCGGACAUGUAACUGUGAGGCUGAUUGCAUAAAAAGUUCAAAAGUUUUAUGUCAAGUAAGCGUUUAGGCACAGAAAUUUUACAAGGCCUUGGAAGUUUUUUCAGUCAACCCAAAAACGAAAAUGCCAGAGUCCUUGCCUCAAAAAUGGCCUUGUGCCCUAGUCCUGUAUCUUAAAGAGAACUAGAACCUCUGCUCCGUCAUCACUACAGGCUGUGCGUCAACACUCUUUCUUGCUAGAUAUGGACCCCUUCUAACAGCUUCAUCAAGCUGCAUACACAAGGGGGCAAAAAAAAAAAGUAUAAAAGAAACAUCAAACAAGAUGAAGAGCCAUUGAAAAAUUGGACCAGAAAAGAGUCAUAUAAGAGCCAACGGGAGAAGUUGCGGGUAGAUCGAGCUUUGUCAGCCGAUGCAGCAUGCAACUGGAAAUGCAAAUCACAUUUCUUGCAUAACCGGUGUCUGCCUAUAUCACCAGCUAUGACAUGAUUGCCCUCCCAAACAAGGAGAUACCAGUAGAAGAAACUAGGAAAGAAAACAGCACAAUAUAUCAAAGAUAGAUCUAACCUUUUCACCUACGCCAGCAAAAGCGGGGUCACUGACAAGUUCACUCGAGACAAAAGCCUUACGAAUUGCCUUGCAACAAUUGUAUCUAGCUUCCAUACCUAAAAUUUUCCAUUAAAUACUUGAGAGAGAGACUUGAUUUCAAACCUCAAAAGAAAGGAGCAAAUGCUCAAACACUCACUUCCGUGAAAAUUCAAAAUUGUAAUGAUCGCAGCAACUAGAAAGACAACACUUUGUAAUCACGCAAUAUGCUGAUUAUUACGAUUAGGAGGUGAAUAGGGAAUUGAAAAUAGACCUAUUUUUGUUGUUUCAGUACUUGCAUCAGUCACUGUGUUUAUUAUCUCUUGUUUUGAGCAAAGCUCCAUCAGGCACCAUGGCCGAGCCACCAACCCAGUUACCAUUCUGUAUCCCUGAAAAUACACACACAAUAAUGCCACAUCAAAUUUCUCUGAUUAAAGGUCUUCAACAGCUGUGAGCAUAAAAAAAAAAUGGAUAUAACAGUUUCAAACGAAUCACAAGCUCCUCCAAUUUUAUAUGCCGAGCAUCUUCUAUUCCGCCCUUUUGCAGGCGCAAAAACUUAUCAAGUGUUCACGUACUUUUUAGUUUCAUAAUAGUAAGAGGUAAGCUACAAGUUCCAACUCACAGUGAAAGAAUACAACAGUAGUCCUGGUCAACAAGGAAGGCUUCAACUUAUGAGAGGAAAAACACUAUAGUGCCUGACCUAAUUAGUCAAAAAGUUAAAAGGUUUUGCAUGACUAUCUUAUAAUAAACAACCAACUGAACCACAGUAAAGUAAUCUUAUAAGUAAACACCAAUUCCCAAAGAAUCAAAAAGCAACUGCUCACUAGACUGGUGAUUAUGAUUUAGUGGCGUCUUGUCCAGACCUUGACUUGGCCAGAAGCAUUUAUCAAAGAUAUUUAUAUGAUGGUCAAUUACAUAAGAACUGGGUGGGCCUUAUCUCCAUUUGAUACGUGUAAAUUCAAAUGAGUAAAAGCAGAAAAUAAUUUACAGGGACGCAAACAAAAACUAAACACAUACAAAUAAAAGAAGCUUGAGAACAUUUCAGAGGUAAUUUAAUUCGAUUCAAGUCUUUUAGUUUUACUCUCCUUGGUGUGUAAAUAGAACACCCAUGGAAGUCCAUGAAAUUUUUAUGAAAAUCUACAGCAUGUUUUUGCUUACUUAAAUCUUUUCCUAAUUACUCAAUUUUUAAGCAGCAUAACAAAUAAGUACCCAUUUCCAUUAUCCUUUAUCAAAAGGAACCUCCUGAUGCAAGAGUUGGAUUACACUGUAGUACAUGGAAGUAUAUUAGAGAGUACCCAUAUAGAGAUAACUAAGCAGAGACAAAAACAAGUAACCAUAUUUAAAACAAAAGAAAGAUGAUUAUAACAACAACUGAAAAUAAAUAAACUUUAAAAAGGCUUUUAUGGGUCCACCUGGACUAUUUAUUUAGACAAUUAUACACCAUCAGGAAAAAUUUUAAUAUGUAAAUAGUGGAUUUAAAAUUCUCACCGCCAAUCGGAUUUCUGCAGCCUGUUGAAGAACUGAUAGAAAGAGACCCUGCCAAUUAUACCAGAAAAGCUUAGUGAAACUUUCUUAGAAUGCAUAGAAGUAACAAUAAACUCAUAUGAACAAAUGUAUACAAGCAAAAGAACUUGGACUUAUUAAUUGAGAUGAUUCAUAAAAGUUAUUGUAAAAUUAACGCAAAUGAUAUAGUUACAACGACUCACAGCAGAUACGUAACUUAAUAUCCGGUGCUUCAACACCAUAUAUUCAUUCAAUUUGAAUUAUUACUACAAACAGUGCCCUUCCAAUUAAAGAACAAUCUGAUUUACCAAAUUAGUGCAACUAGAGAAAGAGCCAUUGAACUUACUGAUGGUGUUAGUUUCGAACUCCUGGACGCCACUUCAUAAAUCAAAUGUCGAAGACUUUCUUCGGCAUCGGCAUUCAAAAUUAUUUUGUCUUCAGAUCGAGUUUCUCCUGCGAUGUUUGCUAGACCAUGCAAAGCAGCCUGUUUGUCAUUACAAAUUGUCAUACAAAUAUUAAAGAAAGAAGGCACAGCACCAAGAAGUUUACUGAGAUAAUGUAGAUAAGAUUACUUUAAGCACAAUUCUUACAGCCAGUUAAGUCCUAAUGCUGUGAAUUUGAAACAACAAAUUUCCUUUAUGCAAAAGGUCAAUUAAAGAAAAGCAGAGCAGCA
rnacentral:lncRNA from 1 species